UACGAAGGGAGCUAGCGUUGUUCGGAAUCACUGGGCGUAAAGCGCACGUAGGCGGAUGUGUCAGUCAGGGGUGAAAUCCCGGAGCUCAACUUCGGAACUGCCUUUGAUACAGCACGUCUUGAGUCCGAUAGAGGUGGGUGGAAUUCCUAGUGUAGAGGUGAAAUUCGUAGAUAUUAGGAAGAACACCGGUGGCGAAGGUGGCCCACUGGAUCGGUACUGACGCUGAGGUGCGAAAGCGUGGGGAGCAAACAGG
rnacentral:rRNA from 1 species